CAAAGGGUAGUUUAAAUAAAAUAUUAAUUUUGGGGAUUAAUGAUGAGAAAUUUUCUUUCCUUUGA
rnacentral:tRNA from 1 species